rnacentral:lncRNA from 1 species
AUGUUUCAUUUAGUGGAAAUGGUUAGUGCAAGGCAUCUUGGGACUUGGAACUCAUGCUCGGCUUAGAUGAUUAUAAAUGUCAUUAAGUGGCACUAGAUUCGAGAGAUAUAAGGUAUAUUAAGCUAAUGUCAUAAAGGGGCAUUAGCCUUGAAUGAUAUGUGAGUUGCAUGUGCAUGCUAACAUUACGAGAACUAUGCUAAGUUGAUAGUUGCAUACGGACGCAUUGAAACCUUAUGCUAGUGGAUAGUGCAUGUUAAUAUUUAUAUGCAUUGUGGAAUACAUGCUAGGAACAUGUUAGCAAUGUGGGAUCACGUUAGGGGGCAUGCGUAUUAACCUAUUAUAUGAUAUGGUAAGCUAAUGUCAUAAGGAGACAUCGGGCUUGGAUUUGACAUAGUAAGCUAAUGUCAUGAAGAGGCAUUAGGCUUAGAAUACAUAUGGACUUAGUAAACCAAGGUCAAUGACAUGUGAAUUUGGGAGCUAAUGUCAUAAAGCAGCAUUGAGCUCGGGUUACGGUGAACCUAGUGGAUAGGGCCAUUGAGAGUUUUAGAAUUGGAACAUGCUUGAACAUAGAAAUUCCUUAGUGUCAUAAAGGGGCACUAGACCUAGUGAAUGUUGGAACUUCACAUUGAAUUAUGGAACUAGAUCAUUGGAUGCUAGUGGCUAUUACCAUGCUAGAGAUAUGAUGAUUGGACUCUUGAGACGUUGAUUACGCUUGCUUGCCAUUUGUGCUCAUUCGCACAUGCUUGUGAGGGUCACUCCCUACAAGCCGGCACUCUGAAGUUGGCCUACGGGACUUAUGCUCGCUCUUCCGGUAUCGAGAAGCUUACGGGGUCGGGAGGGAUAGACUCAUUCCUAGAAUGGGAAUGUUGGAGCUACCACCGACACUUAGGCGGCACAAGCCGGACUACACUUGUGUAGGUCCUAAAUGAGAUUAAACCAGAAUAUUAAACAACAAGUUGAUAAUCACUACUAGACAGGUUAUAGUAGUUGGAUUCGUGACAUGCUAUGGCAUAGGAUUGAACUUUUGGAUAUAUAGUAUACUUGACAGUUUCGUAUAUUGCAUUGUAGUAUACUUGUUGCCAUGAUAGUACUACUAGAUAUGUAGUGGACUUUGGGACAUAUAGCAUACUUCAUAGUAUUACUUGUUGUAUCAUAGCAUGUAUGUUUAAGUAUUGGUAGAUUGACUCAUGUAGAGUAGAUGUACUCCAUAUCGACAUUCUGAAUACUUGUGGCAUAGUAAUAUAGCAUUUCAAUAUAUGCUUUUAUUUUCGCAGUUGUUAUUUCGUUAUCUGUAUCUGCUUUUGAUUUCGGCCUAGUGGUGCAUUUUGCUAAGGUCAGUAAUUGUCCACUGAGAACUAUAAAUUAUAGUUCUCACGCCCCUUGUUUUAUGUUUCUUUCAGAGCCUUCCACUCCGGGAGAGACUCGGGAUCGCGGGAAAGGUUUCGCCUCGAGUUAGCUAUCGAGGGACUUGGUGAUAGGUGGUCCAUCUCUCUUUUGUUUUCUUUUGGAGAGGUUGUGAGAGUUUUGUACCUGGUUAUAGAGACCACCCUGUUUUUGUAUCUUGAGAUUUAUGAUGUAUUAGUUUGCUUUCUGCUUUAGUAGUUUAGUUCUCUUUUUGACUCUACUUGUCGAUAGAACCUAGCUGUGUUUUUGCUCUGAUAUUUCUAGAUACUUUCUACUUCUUGUUUAUUUAUUUAUUUUUGUUGUAGACGCCUUAUAUGUGCAGGCAUAUGGCGGGUCUGGGCACGCACUGGGCGGGCCUACGCCGGGUCCCGGGGCGUGACAGAUUAAUUUGGUAUCAGAGCCUAGGGUUGAGUCUUAGUGGACCUAAAUCUUAGGCCGGUUGGACUAUAGGAAUUAGACUCGUGAGAGACGAGGCCUAUUUGAUUUAUAAGUGAAAGUAUCAUGAUUGGGUUUCUUUGAUAACUCCAAAAAGUUGGAGUUCGAUUGAAAUGUAUGGCUUCUAACUUCGCGGAGGGUUACGUUGGCGGCCGACAAUGUAACAUCGGGAGUUAGUAGUAUAAGACACUUCCUUACUUUCGCAUGAUUUGGGCAUUGGUAUUUGAGCGGGGUUGCGAUAGCGUGGGUUUUAUUAACUUACGCUUUUAUGAUGUUGAUGUGAUGAUGCAGACUACACGCUCUAAGUCUAUUGGAGCGGACGACGUGGCAAACUUUGAGGAAGCGGAGACAUCCGCUACCUCCGGAUCCGACGAGGUCCGUGAGUUGAGGAGCAAGCUGGCGGCCCUUACUGACUUGGUAACGCAGCAGGCGGCGGCGGCUCGGCAGCAGGCAGAUGCGGCGAGCCAGCAGGAGGCACGAAUGCAGCGCCUAGAGGAGCUUCUACUACAGCAGGCGGCUGCCAGGGAGACUCAGGUCCCUGUACCACCAGCGCCGGUAGAGACGGUUGCACCCAUGGGGUCGUUCCCUGCGCUCGACACUUCGCGGGCGGCACCUGCGGUAGCACCUUGGGAGGAACUAUUGGCGGCACCACCAGCUCAGAUGCCUGUGGUAGCAGCAGUUUUUUCCUUGAUGGUUGAGGGAGCAGAGCGGCAGCGGCUCAUGGAUCGCCUCAACGAGUUCAGGAGGUGCGAUCCCAGGAUCUUUGAUGGAGAGAAAGCAGACCACUGGAUCGUUGAGAAGUGGUUGAUGCACAUGGAGAAGUUAUUCCGCGACACUUUCGUGGAGGAGAGAGACAGAGUUUGGCUUGCCACUCACCAUUUGGACGACGAGGCCUACAGCUGGUGGUUGGAUAUCCAUGAUAAUCCCAACACCGACCUAGCAGCAAUUUCUUGGAAGAGGUUCAAGGAACUCUUAUUGGAGCAUUAUUUUCCCCGUUAGUGUUGAGAGGAAGAUGGAGCAGGAUCUGCGCGAGAUGCGCCAGGGGGAUCGGACCGUGGCCGAGUUCGAGAAGGAGUUCUCUCGGCUUCUACACUGUGUGCCCUUUGUUGUGCGGGACAACGAGAAUCAGGCUCGCAUCUUUGAGCGAGGACUUCGGCCGUCGAUCAUCGGGGAGAGCGGCAUGGCGGACUUGCAGGAGCGUCGAGAAGGCUCGGACAAAGGAAAGGGCAAAUGACCCGCGGCUGAGGGUGCGAGUUAGAUGCACUUUGGGAGGCCGCCGAGGCAUCCCAGGAAUAGGAGCCAGUCGCGAGGACAGGGCACAUCUGCACAGCAGGGAGGAUCUGAGCGUCGUCAGACUCUGAGCUGCGUGAUCUGCGGUGGUCGUCAUUACCCACGGCAGUGCUCGCAGGGUCAGGGCAGGUGCUUCUCGUGUGGCCAGGAGGGUCAGUUCUAGUCGGACUACCCGAGGGGCUCAGUACCAGCUCCAUCUUCAGCAUCGGCACCAGCUCUACCGGGUCCUAGUCAGGGGACGCCUCCUGCUCACUAUCAGGCCGGGAGGCCACCUGUCCAGAGACAGACAGAGGGGUCAUGACAGGCCCCGGACGGGCGCAUGUAUGCAGCCCAGACCGCGGAGGUGGCAGCGGCCGCGUUUGAGGCUACAUGUAUCAGUUUGUUUUGUAGCAUUCGAGCUGUAUAUUGUUUGAUAUCGGUGCAUUGCAUCCAUUCUUUGAUCGGCUAUUUGCCGAGUUGCUUAGCAUCCCAUUGGUUCGCUGUUUGCGAUGACGAGUAGCUCCUCUUGAGCUAGGCGACUGAUUUGCGGGUUGCGGGUAGCAUGUUUCGCUAUGCUUUACAGAUCUCACGAUGAUUACAUUAGUUGCAUCCCUUGAUCGGCUGUUCGCCGGAUAGUGCGUGGAGACGACCGUGCCUGGACCGUUUGUGGACUGUGGAGCCUGGGCCCUUUGGGCAGGGCAAUUAGCUGUGUGUGACAGCGGCCCGGUACCUACUAGUAGGGCAGAGUUUGGUCAGGAUGGUAGUCCGAGCUUUGACUUUGGAACGUGGAAUGCCACGUGUUGGAUCGUGAGAUCGAGGAUACACCGAGUGUGUAGUGACCCGACCCAAGGAUUUGUUUGCAUUGAUCAUUUUCGACCCUUGUAGGACGAUCGGUUGAUCGGGUGUGUCGUUUCGAACACCCUACCAUGUGAGAUGGUUUUGUGUGCCAACAAAUGGAUUGGCCUUACUUAGUGUGGAGUUGUUGUGGGUACCUAGUACUCUUGGAUUGUGAGCUGACUUGACUCGCUUUGAGGAUUUUGAGCACGAAAUAGUGCAAUUUGAGGAUUUAGUUCUGUGCAUUGCGAUGACUGUCCCUUUACCAAAAAUCAGGUAAUUUGGGAGGUUUUGGGGCCUAGUUGGCCGAUAGCAUUCGUUGAUCGAGAAUCCUUGUAUUGGAGGAUGUCUUCCGAGUUGUUGUUGUUUUCCCGAUUGAGACACGAAGUGUGAACUCAAUUGGCGGAGAGGCCCUUGUACCUAGGGUUUCGCUUCGUGGAGAAGCACCCCCACCUGUUGUGGGACCGGAUGGGUCAUUUUGACUGUAUGUCGGCUGUCGUGAUCUAAAUCGAACCACGAUUAGCGUUUGGACCAUUGUAGAGGCUCAUUGAUCCUUUCAAUUAGCCUUGAGCUGUAGUGGUACUAGAUAAGAUUGUAAGCAAUCUGAGUAGUACUAUUUGAUGUUGGAGUUUGAGGUCGUACCUCAAAACGGAUUGUGAUGCUAGGUGGAGACAUCACGAGGAUGAUGUUGCCUAAGCCUGUAGUACUCUACCAGUGUUAGGGACUUGUGGAAUGAUAAUUCCAAGCCUUUUGGAUGGAUUUGUGGAACCGGUCGCGGAUGGCCGUGAAUAUUCCUACGAAGGAUUGAGAGGAUCGACUGCGAGGCAGGUUGACAUGAUCGAGAUGUGAAACUCUCACUGUUGGAUCAAGUGAUUGGAAACUCGAGGGGGGGAAAGAUACCAAGUUGCUGUAUUUCCUUGCCCGAUUUAUGCACCAGGAACCAAAAUCUUGGAGAUGGAAACUGCGUGAGAGAGUUGUUUGGAUUGAUAUUUUUGGUUGAUGGUCACAUUAGGAUGACAUUGAUUGAGAGCUAUUAUUGAACUGUGGAUUGAUCCCUCUCUAUCACUUGAGAUUGGCUCGGUGACUAUGAACACCUGGAGCAUCCGAUGCUAAGGAAAGCAUUGAGGAUGAGAAUUUUUGAAUGAUUCUUAUGGAGCAACUGAAUGAUUAAUGUAGGAGACAUUCUAUCGAAGUUGAGCCUUUGGCUUAGGCUUGCGAAGAGUUUACUUGGACUUGAGUUGAGACUAAGAUGAUGAUCUUAGUGGAAUGACGAAGCUCCUGAGCUUUGGUCCCUGACCAUGUAUUGCAGAGGAUUUGAGGGUACUCUCGGGUGGUGAGUUUGAGAUUGAUGUGGAGGCAUCAUAGUGCCGUGCCGAUUGAGAAAUCAAGUAAUCACCUUUGGUGAGCAAGUUGGACGAUUCGUCGGUUCCUGUUGCUAUUGGAAGGUUGGCUACCUUGGAUGUUGGUUUAGAACCGUUCGUGCCAAGCAAGAUUAGACGGAUGGAUGGACGUUGCAAUUAGCAAUGAGAUGGAAUGGGGUACACCAUACUUAACCUUGGAUCGAAUUGCACUCAGUUGUGCCAUCUCGAGAAGAGACUUGAUCUUGGAUUUGAAGGAUCACCAUUGGAAUAUGAACCGAUGAGCGGAUGUUGCAUCACCUCUUCUUGGUGAGUGUUAAUCAGAUGAGCACUCCGAUGGUGUUUUGAUAGACGAGCAAUGGAUUUAACCCCCCCUGACGCUUGCUUUGGACAGUACCAUUGAAUCCACCUUGAGGGGUAUUUGGAUGGAAUCCUAUAUACUAGAGUAAUUGAAGCAGAGCAAGGCUUUACCCUCGGCUUGGACGAGAAAGGUGAGAAUUGGAAUUCAGCUCUCGGAAACACUUGAGUUCGUGAGGACCAGCUGAUGGACUUGUUGAACAAGUACGGAUUGGAGAUGGAACUUUCGGUGAAGACUUGAGUUCAAGGAGCUUUAGCGGAAGUUUAGGUUGUGUUAUGCCAAAGCCUUGAUGUCGCAAGAUCUUGUUGUGUUUGUGCCUUGGAGCUUUUCGGCACGUUUGAGACCUCCAUGGUCUGUUUAGGGCGCUGUUGGAGCGCUUUUCCAUCCCUUUCGGAUGGGUUUGUUGUGUGGUUGACCCGCAGUUUCAUGGAUGAAACUCCUUUUUAGGAGGGAAGAAUGUAACACACUGGACUUUUGCAUAUGGCAAGGUUCGAGUGUUUGAUCUGUGUUCCGAAUUUUUCAAGAUAUUCUGGAGGGUCGUCGAUAGUGGUCCGACCCAUGGCUCGCAUCCCGAGGAAUAUAGUAUUUUAUGUAGCACUAAGGUCACCAAAGGGAUGGACUUAGGCUGCCCUCGGAUUGCACUCUGCACAUGGUGAAACCGGUGACAGGUCGAUGGCUGUACCGGUACACAUUUUGUACCGGCACACUUUGAUGGUUGUACCGGUACACUUGUGCCGAAUUUCAAACCCGAGGCUUGGGUUUGCAUUUUCGCGGGAUUUGUACCGGUACACUUUUUCGUGUACCGGUACACUUUGGCAGAUUUUGAAUGGUCGAAUCUGCAGAGGUGUUUUUGCAAUGUGGCUUCCCUAUUUGUAUCCCCACGCCCUAGGAGCCUCCCCUGAGCUUGGCACCUACAAGGAGAAAGGUGAGGAAGCCCUCCACACCUCUCUUUGUAAUUUUCUUGAUUUUGUUUGGGUUUUAUAAGAUUAAAUGUCUCUUUUGCUUCUUUUUGGUUGUUGGAGGCUUUUCCCACCAUUGGAGCUUGAGUUUGAUGCUUGGUUGAGGAAAGAUCCUUGAAGUUUGAGAACUUUGAGCUUGGAUUGAAGCCUCUAAAAAGUUUGUAGCAAGAUCUUUUCCUCUAGAUUUGGUUUUUGAAGGUUUCUUUGAGAUGAAACCCUAGAAUGGGCUUUCAGGGUUGAUUUUGGGCUUUUUGGAUUUAGGACUUUUGGAGCUCAAUUUCUUGGAUUAGAACCUUCCUUUGGGUUAGAUUGGAAGGGUUCUAACUCUCUUUUGGAGCUUGAGAAGAGAUUUUCACUCUAUAGGUGAGUUUUAGCCCUUUUGUUGAUUUGGUUAAUAUUCGAUCACAAGGUUGUUCGUUUGAUUCGCUAAUCCCUUUUAGAAUGUCUUCUAGGGAGCUAGGAGGCUAGUGGGCAACCCCGUUCGGCGAAACGAAGGGUUCCGAGACGCUUCGGUGGGUUUCACCUAGCCACCUAAUGAGAAAAUCUCAUUUGUGAUGAUUUGAGUAUCGUAAAAUAAGAAAGCAUGCAUAUUCAUAUUAAAUAUAUUUGUUAUGAAUUUUAGAGUGAUCAAAAUGCCUAUGUUACAUAUAUUGUAUUUUUGGACCUAUAUGUAGUAGAGAGUUUGCAUGUUGGGUAAGCAUGAGGGUAGCAUUCUUAUUUGUGGAUGGGAAUCAUGUUUUAUUUAGUGGAAAUGGUUAGUGCAAUGCAUUUUGGGACUUGGAACUCAUGCUUAGUUUACAUGAUUAUAAAUGUCAUUAAGUGGCACUAGAUUCGAGAGAUGUAAGGUAUAUUAAGCUAAUGUCAUAAAGGGGCAUUAGCCUUGAAUGAUAUGUGAGUUGCAUGUGCAUGCUAACAUUACGAGAACUAUGCUAAGUUGAUAGUUGUAUACGGACGCAUUGAAACCUUAUGCUAGUGCAUAGAUGCAUGUUAAUAUUUAUAUGCAUUGUGGAAUACAUGCUAGGAACAUGUUAGCAAUGUGGGAUCACGCUAGGGGGCAUGCGUAUUAACCUAUAUAUGAUAUGGUAAGCUAAUGUCAUAAAGAGACAUCGGGCUUGGAUUUGACAUAGUAAGCUA